CUUAAUUCUGAGAAAGUGUAGCCUGUGUUACGGAGGAGCUGCUGGACAGUGAGGUUUCUGGGUGACAUUUUAGGUUAUUGGGUCCCAGAUUGCUGGCACACUCAUCCCUGUUCUCAAACAUCUUUUAAACUUGGGUGAAGUGAUAAGUUGGGGAAGAAGAUGAUUUACUGAAAGUCUCCCGAGAAGAGAUUCAGACUGAACAGCUUUGUAUCAGACUUCGGAAGACCGCUGGUGCCCAAGGUGUUCUCUGACAGGGCAAUGACGAAUCUAGGUCCCUCUUUCACUGCUACGUCAAUGAAGUGGACCACUUGGACAAG
rnacentral:lncRNA from 1 species